UCAGUCAUCAAGUGGGCGGGGGCUUCUGCCUGCUACUGGCUCUUCCUUUUUACAUCCUUCAGCGGGAAUGUGAAAUGCUUCCAACAAGGGUUUCUUUCACUUCUCAUGAAUAGAGAUUCUCCAGCACUUGCCAGGCCGUUACUAAUGGAAAUCAGAGGGAGAAGAUAUUGGCAAUUGCCUGCUGUGCUCGGGCCCUGGGAGAAGGCCAGCUGGGGCUCUGCCGAAAGCGAGGAAGACCGAGAGAUGGAGUACAAGGAUCCUGAAACCUUCUACUGCUUGUUAGAGUCUUCUAGUCCUGUGUAUAGACAGACUGCAGCAAAUUAACAUAGGCUACAACUUCACAUCCUCACAUAAUAACAGCUUCAGCAAAUUGAGAUUCAUUUAAUGGCUUCAGUUUGAAGUCAGGACCCCAAAACCACACAUAUUUAUGAAUAAACAUGUAGGCACACACACAAAUCAGCAGUAUGGACUUGCUUUGUUGUGAGUCUCCACUGAGGGUAAGUCGAAGCCUGCCAUUGGCUGAGGCCGGUCACGUGAUUGCAGAUUACAGCUCGAGGCAGAGCGCAGUUUGUAAGGUUUUCAUAUGGUGUAAAUCAGCUGCUCACCACAGCAUUCCACUCAGCCUUCACUAACAACAACCACAAAAAACAUGAUGAGGUGCCUUACCAUGUCAAAAACCAGCGCUCACUAGAUCCCACUCACCUCCCUCAAAAUCUUCUCUACCAAAAUUACAUUAUUAAUGCCUUGUCACGUGUUAGGCCUUGUCUACAGUUUCAGGAGGGUUUAUAUUCACAUAUGUGUUGCUAAUCAAUUCAUGAUCAUGUAUAUAUUUACAUGUAUGCUUAUAUCCAUGGGUCCCCCUGCUUUGGGCCUGAUGAGUGGGUUAUAUGAUACAGUAUAUCACAGUUGUCCCCCUAAAGACGGUCCUGUUGAUUCAUGACCUAUAUUUGAACAUCACAUAUGUACCAGUAUGAGUUAAUAUUUUUUGACCCAAGAAUUGAACGGAAUAAUUUGAGAUCUGGGUAAAUUUUGUUCACAAAAUGUUUUUUUUUUGAUACAUCAGACAUGGACAAAUGACAUUUUAAAUUUACGGAAAUUACAGAUUCCUUUUGUAGUAUUACUUAACACUUAUGUCAAUGAUGUAGUUUUCAGUGUUAUAGAUUUAAAAAAAUUCAAUAAAUAAAAUGAACUUCAGUGAUA